GGAGGCAGGAGAAGAUGGAAGAGAAGACUUACUGAGUCUUCUGGCCUUCAUCUUUCUCCCAUGCUGGAUGCUUCCUGGCUUUAAACAUCAGACUCUAAAUUCUUCAGCUUUUGCACUCUUGGACUUACACCAGUGGGUUGCCUAGGGCUCUGAGGCCUUUGGCCACAGACUGAAGGCUGCACUGUCGGCUUCCCUAAUUUUGAGGUUUUGGGACUGGGACUGAUCCACCCCUGGCUUCCUUGCUCCUCAGCUUGCAGACAGCCUAUAGCGGGACUUUACCUUGUGAUCAUGCACGGCCCUUUUGUGAUCUCCUGGUUCUUGUAAAUCUCACUGUGGCUGAUGAGGUCUGGAUAGAUAAUCAUGAUGGUGGCUGAAGAGAGACAAUGGUGGUGCUAGGUUACCAGUGGCGUGGAGCUCAGAGCUAAUGCAGAGCAGCUGGAGCAGUGCUGAGUUUCAAAACGUGUUGGAAAAAAUAUUAUAUGAAUGAUGCUAUUUUUUUCACUGAAUCACAUCAAGAAGCACAUGAUGUUAAGCUGUCUCAUCAUUGGUGGUGUUAACUUGGAUCGCUUGAUUAAGGUGAUGCCUUUCAUAUUUAUAUACUACAAAGUUAGCCCUUUUUAAUCAAUAAGUAAUCUAUUCAGAGAUAAAUGAGAACUGCAUAAAUAUCUUGGUAACAAACAAGUUUUACCCAAUAUUGUUUUCCUCCAUUGAUGAUUCUUGCCUUAAUCAAUUAUUACCAUGACAGUAGCAAAAUAGUGAUAUUUUAGUUAUCAUUUCUUGUACAUGUAUUAGUUUUACAUAGUAAACAAAAGCGUUUCCUCCUCUCAUUUUCUCUUUCUCUCCCUUCUUUCCAUCCAUUCUUCCUUCCUUUCUAUUUCUGUCUGUCUCUGUCUCUGUCUCUGUGCCUCUCUGUCUCCUUUGCCCUUCUCAUUGUCCGUUUUUAUUUAUAUUUCUUAAUGUGUGGAUUCAUAAACUAUUCUUUUCAAUUGCAUUAUAAUCUGUUACUGUCAUUUUUUAUUGUACCAGAUUUAGCGAGUAUGAGCUAACAAUUUCUAAUUUUAAUCCAACAUUUUAAAUCACAUGGUCUUCUUCAUCUUCUCUGUUUACAUAUUCGUAUUUACUUCCUUUCACAAUCAUAAUCUUGCCUCCCUCCCCCAAAGGAAUAUAUUUUCUUCUAUGGGACACCAAAGAUAAUAGAUUUUAAUUUAGUUUUAGAGUUUUCCAAAAUGUUUGUUGAUUUAAUUUUAUUUUUGAUUAUGUAUUAAUUGAACAUGCUUCCAGUUUUCAAAAUUAUAUGAAAUGAUAUAUACAGAGAAUUGCCACUCAAUCUUCUCUUCUUCCCAUAUUAUUGUCACUUCUUGCCUGUGGUUAACCAAUUUCACUGGAUUCUGGUUAUCCUUGCGUUUAUUUUUUAAAAUAUGUAAGUUAUAUGUUAUUAUAUAUGUUUUUCCCUUAAAAUUUUUCCUGAUAAUCCAUAUCGGGCCAUAGAGAUCUCCUUUAUUACUUCCUGCAUAGUAAUCCAUUGUGUAUAUAUAUUAGGUUGGUGCAAAAGUCGUUGCAGUUUUUGCAAUUACUUUUAAUGGCAAAAACUGCAAUUACUUUUGCACCAACAUACAUCGUUUAGCCCGAGAACUACUCACUCUGGGUCUCCUCUCCACUGAGGGCUGCACACAUGCCGGGAUGACCUGCCUGUGGAAAGGAGCUACAACUUCAGGUCUCCUGAGAGCUGUAGGAUUUGUACCAUUUUGCUUUCCCAUUAGCAAUGUGUAGGAAUGCCUGUUUCCCUGUAGCCUCCCCAACAGCUUGUGUUAUCAAGAUUUUGGAUAUUUAACAAACUUGAAGGUGAGAAAUUACAUUUAUUAAUUUGUAUCUUAUUUUUAGUAAUGUUUAAUAAUUUAUAUGCUUCAGAUUAUUUUAUAUCUAUCUGAGAUUUAUCUAUUUAAUAUAUCUGAGAUUUAUCUAUUAAUGAUUCUUGCCCCAUUUUCCAUCAAUUUUUGGUCUUAAUUUAUUUUUCUUUUCAUAAUGUGAUUUUCCUUGAUUAUGUAUUACAAAUGUAUUCUAGUUUGUCUUUUUACUGACACUGCUUACAGUUGGCAUUGCUAUUAUUUUUGCUUUGGAAAGGUUUGCUAAAUGAAUUCAUUUUUAUUUUAGAGGAGUUAAAAUUUUCAGUGUUUUCUUUUAUUGUGUUGCAAUUUUGGAUCAUUAUUACAAAACAUUGUUUUUUAGAGCCAGAUUACAAAUUACCCCACAUUUUCUUCUAAUGCAUGUGAUGGCAGCAGCGGCCAAAUAGAGUAGCUGCUGCAAAGGUGCUAGCUGCAGUGGGGUAUGCAUGACUGGGACGGCUAACUCCGCGGAGCUGGCAGGAGCUGGGAACAGGCGGGAGCUCCACCCCCUUCCAAGUGGGUGGGGCAUGAGCUUUGUGCUUCUGGGUGCAACUGCAGCUGCCCAGCCACGACUGCGGACCCAGGCAUCCCUGUGGUCUUGGGGGCCCAGGAAGUCUCCCUGCCCCCGCAGGCUCAGAAGGGCCUCCUCCUGCUGCCUGGCCUCUCUCCACUCCCAGCAUCCACUCUGAUUUUGGAGGAAAGUUGUGGCCGAGCUCGGGCUCUGUCACGACCCGGCUGGGUGUGCGCACACUCAAGGCAGCACUGACAUGCCAGCCCCUUGCCGCCUCGGCCCCACUCCGUAAUUGGGACACUGACAAACAUGGGAGGGAGGUCAAGAGGGGGCUGAGGGCGGCUUUGUGUGAGCCUGCAGGCACCCCUUGGCACGAACAGCCUGGGCACCAUGAAUGGCAGCAGUAGGCAGACAGGCUCCUGGGCAGAAAGGGGCACGUCCCUGGUGAAACCCCACCUUCAAGCCAGGGAGGGCCUGAAGCCUGGGGGCUGGGCUGCCAGUUGCACAGACCAGAGUGAGAACUUAUGGUGCUUUUUCUGGGCCCGCCCAUGGCCACCCGUAGACCAAUCAGCACACUCUUCCUCCCCUGUGAAACCCAUAAAAACCCUCAGAGUCACCCAGAAUUGGACAGAUGACAAGACAACCGGACUGCAGGGAGGAGCUACCCAUUCAAGGUCUCCUCUCCAAUGAGGGUUGCAGAGAUGUUGGGGCAAUUUGCCUGCAGAUAGGAGCUACCCACUUGGGAUCUCCUCUCUGCCGAGGACUACACACUUGAUGGGAUGACCUGCUUGUGGAGAAGAGCUACCCACUGUGGGUCUCCUCUCAGCUGAGGGUUGCACAGAUGCCCAGACCACAUGCCUGUGGAAAGGGGAUACCCACUUUGGGUCUCCUGAGAGCUGUACUGCCACUCAAUAAAGCACUGCUUCACCUUGCUCACCCUCCAGUUGUCUGCAUACCUCAUUUUUCCUGGAUAUGGGACAAGAACUUGGGACCAGACAGACAAAUGGCAGGACUAAAAGAGCUGUAACACAAACAGGGCUGUAACCCCCACCCCAACACCACUGGCCACAUUGUGGGUGACGAGAAGGAAAGAAGUAGAGAAGAGCUGCAGUUCUUUGGGGAUUGCAAACCUAGGAGCUCCCUGAGCCAGGGCUGUGAAACCUUCUUUAGGGCUCUGCAUUUCCGGGCAUCAUCUCCAAGCUUCCAGGUGCCACCGCAUUCCCUGGUUCCUGAGGCAGAAGCUACUUGUGAUACACUUGGUCUAGCUACAGCCUUGCAGGGAGCCGGAGCCUGUGCCAGUGCCUGGAGCUGCCCACCCCACCACAGCCAGCGUGCCUGGCCGUGCGCGGUGGCCGGACCCCACUUUUGCUUCUUCACACACCCCUCACCACUCUGCGCUUGGCCCAACCUUGGCAGGCAUGGGAUCCGGGUGGUAGCGAAAGCCGAGUGCAGCCUGUCAGGCCCACUGGGUGGAACAGGCUCAGCAGGCCCAAGCAAAACUUGGGCAAAGGUGCCACUGGCCAUAGAGGUUGCUGGCUGGUGAAGCAACACCCUAAGGAACCUGGGAAACAUGUAUGGCUACAUUUAUAUUUUACACUCAGAAUUCUAAUUCAUUUGGAUUUUUUUUUUUUUCUGUGUAGAGGGAAAAGUGUGAAUCCAUUUUUAUCAUUAUCUAAAUGACUGUUCAGUUGUUCCAACAUGCUUUGAUAAAAUGUCCAUAUUUGUCUCUGUGAUUUGAAAUGACUACCUUUAUCGUGUAGUAAAUUUUACUAUGUUCUUGGCUGUUGUAUUUUCUAUUAUAUUCCACUGGUCUGUUAUUUCUUUACCAGUAUAAAUAACAUGGAUUCAAUUGCAGAAACUUUAUAGUAUGUUUUAAAAUCUGGUGGCACUAUUCCUUUCCUGUUGCUCUUAUUUUUAUGGGUUGUCCUACGUGUUCAUGCAUAUUAUUUUUCACAUGAACAACUCCACAAUAGUUGGAGAAAAAAAAUCUUCCUGGUAUUUUAUUAGAGUUGCAUUAAAUUUAUGCAUAAACUAAGAGAUAAGAGAGACAUAACAUCUUGUUGACAUUGACACAUCAUAAUCAAGAACAAGCAAUGUCAUUUCAUUUUUGCACAUCUUCCUUUUUGUCUUCCAGGAGAUGCUAAUCAUUUUCCUUAUAUAGUUUUUAAAUCGUCUUCCCUUAGUAUUACGUAGAUUGUCAUUAUUUUAAAGGCUAAUUCUGACAGCUUCAUUAUUUGGCAUCUUUGUAUUGUGCAUAUUUUUUCUUGAUUUUAGAUCAUUUGAUCUUGAGUCCUAGUGUGUUGGUUA
rnacentral:lncRNA from 1 species